rnacentral:rRNA from 1 species
AUGGGCGCAGCCUGAUGCAGCGACGCCGCGUGAGGGAUGGAGGCCUUCGGGUUGUAAACCUCUUUCGCCAGUGAAGCAGGCCUGUCCCUUUUGUGGGUGGGUUGACGGUAGCUGGAUAAGAAGCGCCGGCUAACUACGUGCCAGCAGCCGCGGUAAUACGUAGGGCGCGAGCGUUGUCCGGAAUUAUUGGGCGUAAAGAGCUCGUAGGCGGCUGGUCGCGUCUGUCGUGAAAUCCUCUGGCUUAACUGGGGGCUUGCGGUGGGUACGGGCCGGCUUGAGUGCGGUAGGGGAGACUGGAACUCCUGGUGUAGCGGUGGAAUGCGCAGAUAUCAGGAAGAACACCGGUGGCGAAGGCGGGUCUCUGGGCCGUUACUGACGCUGAGGAGCGAAAGCGUGGGGAGCGAACAGGAUUAGAUACCCUGGUAGUCCACGCCGUAAACGUUGGGCACUAGGUGUGGGGGGCCUUUUCCGGGUCUUCCGCGCCGUAGCUAACGCAUUAAGUGCCCCGCCUGGGGAGUACGGCCGCAAGGCUAAAACUCAAAGGAAUUGACGGGGGCCCGCACAAGCGGCGGAGCAUGCGGAUUAAUUCGAUGCAACGCGAAGAACCUUACCAAGGCUUGACAUGUGCCGGUCAGCUCCGGAGACGGGGUUUCCUCCUUGUGGGGCCGGUUCACAGGUGGUGCAUGGGUGUCGUCAGCUCGUGUCGUG